AUUGAACGCUGGCGGCAUGCUUUACACAUGCAAGUCGAACGGUAGACCCUUUCGGGGGUUGAGAGUGGCGAACGGGUGAGUAAUGCAUCGGAACAUACCCAGUCGUGGGGGAUAACGUAGCGAAAGUUACGCUAAUACCGCAUGAGUCCUGAGGGAGAAAGCGGGGGAUCGCAAGACCUCGCGCGAUUGGAGUGGCCGAUGUCAGAUUAGCUAGUUGGUGGGGUAAAGGCCUACCAAGGCGACGAUCUGUAGCGGGUCUGAGAGGAUGAUCCGCCACACUGGGACUGAGACACGGCCCAGACUCCUACGGGAGGCAGCAGUGGGGAAUUUUGGACAAUGGGCGAAAGCCUGAUCCAGCCAUGCCGCGUGCGGGAAGAAGGCCUCGGUU
rnacentral:rRNA from 1 species